UCGGAGCUGCAGCAGGACCAGUUCUGCACACCGCGGAGGCGCAGGACAUCACGCUGUCGUUCGUGUGCCGCCAUGGUAGCAUGCUUCCUCUGCCAUCGUUCCCUCCAUCCCAAUAAUUCAGUUGGUACCGAACCUUGAAAUUCGCACUCAGCUGCGAGUCGCCGCCCGUCGGCCCGUCGCGGGGACUCGUGGCCCUGACCUCUCCGUCGCUGCCCGUCGGCCCGCCUGCAUUCAGGAAGAUCACUACGAUUAGGUACACAAUGAGGAUAGAAGCAGUCCUUCAGCAAAAAAUCUUUGAAGUCGCAGCAGAGGUCCUUCUUAGCAAUGAGUUGGACAAGAUUUGCUUCGUGAGCCUCACAGGUAAGAGCAAGCUGGUGCCGGCACAAUAUCGUCCCAGCACCCUUAAUCCUCUAUGGUGGUGGACGUGUGCGACUCCCACCACGGACGCAAGGAUAACAUCGUAGAAACCUCCGCUGCCGUCUGGAUGGCGCUCAGCCAUGACACCAGCAUCAGCGACGUAGUGGCACUGAUGGGAAUAUGUCACAGAACAAAUGACACUAAUUUUGCCUGGGGUCGAGCAAGUUCAGUGCAAUAUUGAAUUAUUGGGUUCAGAAAACAUAAAGAUAGCACCAAUAUAAGAAUUAUAGGGUUGGGAUUAGCCAACUUAUUGGGUAUUCUGUGAAAAAGUAUUUUCUUGUAUUAUAGUCUUAGUUAUGUGGACAACAAAAAAAACUAUGUGGACAAUUGGCCUUUGUGGUGGAAGAGAGGUACUGUGAAUUGCUCCUGUCAAUUGCUAACUUGGAGUAUCUGUUACAAAUCCUGUGAAUUGCUCCAGCAGGAUAGGCUAGUUUCGUAUGUUACAGAAAAGUCUUGUGUUCAAGCACUUCAUGUGUUUUUUUUCUAUACGUGUAAACUUAGAACAUGUGCUACAAACUUGAGAUGUUCUGACCUUGUUA